rnacentral:ncRNA from 1 species
AUCUUAUCAAGAGUGGUGGAGGGACUGGCCCUUUGAAACCCGGCAACCGAAAUAUUGAUUCAUUUAUUAAUAUUUUUAUGGUGCUAAUUCCAGCAGCUUUUAGCUGAUAGAUGAGAG